ensembl:lncRNA
AUGUAAAGGCAGAUGGGAAAGUUGUGAGGGUGGAUGGGAAAGCUAAAAAAGCAAACUUGUGAAUGCAUAUAAGUGAUGUGAGAACUUGUAAUAAACAAUUUGGAUCGUUCACAUCUGAGUCCGUGCAUCAGAUGCUGCAAAUAGCACCUACCGUGUGGAACAAAUCAAGCUGAGGCUGAGUGAGCCCGGUCCAGCAGCACUGCCCAACUGAACUACAGAGAUUGUUUCGCGCCUACCUGCACCAUUCUGCAGGACAGAAGGUAUCAUUCAGCAAAUUGAAGGAUUUUUUCUUAAGGAAGUUAACAACCCUGUCUUGUUUGCACAGCUCAAGGGCUUGCUACAUAUUUCUUGGAUCUAUGUACCGUUGUAGGGAUGCACCAAUCCAGAGCUUGGAAGAAGUGAUGCUUCACUGUCAACCAACUCUCUCUGGCCCCCUGUCCUUCCAAUGCUCAGCUAGACAUCGGUGUCUAAUCUCUUUGAUUGGACUUUCCUUGGGCUGCA